UAUACAUGGAUCAAGUUUAGUAGGUUUAGAGGAAAAUGAAUGUCUUGUUCUGAAAAAAUAGCAGUACCAGCUGAGCUUUGGGGAGGUGACAGAUUGAGUCACUUCACAGCUUAAUUCUGUUAUGAACUGGUCCCAUGGGCAUGGAUUGUCAAUUAGGGAGACUUGAAUCUUUUAGAUAUUAAAUCUACAGGCAGACAACAAAGAACACAUUAUUCUUUUGUAAAAAUAGAGGAACCUGGCUGUCUACUACAGAACUAGAGGAACCUAGCUUAGAUAGAAGCUCAUCCCACUUCAGCACCUACAGCAGAUUUGAUACCUUUGAGCAAGAUUGGAUACUUUUCUCAAAGUAAAUACUGGGUUGGUACCCCAGAGUUAUGCACCACUGAACAUGGAUUUUAACUUAAAAUACUUAAGGGCAGAUUUUUACUGUUAGUUUUCUUGACAGAGCAACCCAGUGCAGUUCCUAAAGACUUCUGAUUUUGUGUAGCACCAGCUCCUGUUGCAUUUUCUGAAUGGAUUAGUAUUAAAAAUGGAGCCCCAAGAAGCUGGUUAAAUUUUUAGCCUUCUGCAUUUAAGCUGUAGCCCAGGCUGUGAGCUAGUAUCGCAUCUUAUUCAUUAUCCAACAUAGAACCAGGUUUACAACAGGCACUCAAAAUGUUUGUGGGAUGAAUGAAUGAGAAACUGCCAAUUCUGAGGAUUUCUGUUUCAGAAGAGUUGAUGCUAAG
rnacentral:lncRNA from 10 species